AUCGAGCUUGAAUUGGCUGCCCUGGAUCGUCAAAGUGAUGCCUCGGCAUAUGCCCUCCGCCCUCAACGUGGAUCCGUCACCCAAUGCCACGUCGAAGCCCAAUGUCGGCUCUGCUAUGAGACCGAUCUGUUUGACGAGCCUCUCAUCCAAAAAAUUGUGGGUGCUGCCCGUAUCUAUGAGGAUACGCACCACACGUCUUUUGAUCAUGCCGUCCACGCGUAGCGUUUUCGGUGUCGCCGAUCCAGAGUAGGCAUGCAAUGAAAUCUGAGGUGGCACGUCCUCUUCCUUGGCCUCUAAAUCUUGGGGCUCAUCCUCAGCAACCUCAUCACCAUCUUCAGCCACGGCCUC
rnacentral:lncRNA from 1 species